CUCAACAGUGCCACUACCUGACACAACAGCAGCAGUGAUGGGGGCAGGGGAGAAAAGGCAGAGGAGGUGAGAGGCUCAGGUUGGAGCUGUUUAGCCCACUUCAGCUAUUCCUCUCCUACUUCCCUCACACGUGCCAUGUCACAACACAGCUGCUGCAGACUCACUCCCUGAGCAGGAGAUCUUUGGGGUGCAGUGACUGAUGGUCAGGUUUGACAUGAAGAACCCAUCUCUGGGGAUGGAGAGAAAAGACAAGGACUCUCAACACCUUUGGCAAGCAAUCCACAAAGAUGGACUAAUUCCAGAGGAAUUCAAGUGAAGACUGUGUCACAACUAUUAACCCAAUUUUAAAGAUGCUCCAAACUGCUGCCAGCAUGUACUUUAUAUAAUGGUGCCUUUCUUACUGCAGCAGUCCUUUCAAGAAACGACCUCCCAAGAAAUACUGGAAAACUUUCCCAUGGAAAAAAAAAAUAAUAACCAAUAAAAAAAACAAUAACAACAAACCAAGCAGCCAACAGCUGAAAUCCUCCUCAAAGUAGCAUUCCAGCCAUAAAUAGUCAUGAUUCUCAAAAGGACAGGAAACAAACAGGUGCUGAUAGCAUUUUUUGCCAUAAUUCAAAAGUGCUCACGUCUUGGUUCACUGUGGAUGGUAAACUCUCUGGCCAGGAACACCUCAGCAAUCUCCCAGAAUUUCCUUUCUGGGCUUUGGCUGCAGAACUGAGUAAAACAGGAGCAAUCACACCAGUGAACUCCAGAGCUAAGAGUAUGACCUGUUGUAAUCGGUGCCAAGAGCUCCUGGCUGGGUAGAGACAGACUUUCAUUCAUGAAGUGAGCACAGAAGGAAGCCCAAGAUAGACUCAUGAGGAGGCCGUGAGGGCAUGGGGAAAAAAAUCUCAUUGCAGCCCUCUCAGAGAGGGGGGGCUGGAUGCGUGAAGGGACACCUCUAUGAGGGCUGUGAGCAGCCAGAGACGCUUCCAGCAUUGAAUACUCAAGUUCUCAGCCCAAUAAACUGUUUCAUAAGCUGCCAGAAAAAUAAAGCUCAGAGGGACUGGAAGAGGUCACCACUGUAAUCUCUGCUGCCCCCUGAGAGGCACAGUGCAGCAAGUAUCAGAUCUGAGAGGACAGCUUUGAAACUUCUUGGGCAGACACAAGCAGAAGCAAGCAAAUAAACAACAACUAAAGAAGCAAACAAGAAAGCUUUUUAUUUGUUUGUUUGUUUGUUUGUUUUUCCCCUGCUUCAAUAUGGCCAGCUAAGAGAAAAUAAGUUUUUAGCAGUGGAAGUUGUAUAUGUAUCUCAGUGGUGCAUUUCAAUCCUUCUGAUUGCUCAGGUUUCUUUCCAGUUAAGCAAGCUGAAUUUGCUGGGACUGCUACAGAAGUUCUCCAUCAUUAUUCUUAAGGAUCUUUUUUUUUUUUUUCCCCCCCCAGAAUAUCUUUAGUAAGUCAGAAUCUGCUGCGGGGUGCCUUGUCAGGACAGCUGGCCGCUAUAUGUGACCUUUAUGUAUCUCAUAAGGUCCUUAGAAUUACAAGAAUACAGAAUCUUCUGAGGGUGAAGAGGAGGUGUUCCUUAGCCAGAAGCAUAGCAAAUCUUAAGCAAAACAUACAUGACAUCCAGAUAGGGAUAAAAAAGGAAAUAAGGCAUGAGGAGAGAUACAGACUGGUCCUAGAUGCACAAAUGUUUUAUUCAGCAUAAUGUUGUUACUUCCUAAAUUCCAGUUGUCUUCUUCCCUUCACCCUCACAGUGACCGAAGUUUGGACUGCUGAUCUUCAACAUCUAUACCAGUGAUAUAGAUAAUGGGAUUGAGUACAUCUUCAGCAGUUUUCUGAUGACAUCAAGCUGAGUGGUGCAGUUGAUAUGACAGAAGGAAAGGAUACCAUCCAAAGGGACCUGGACAGACUGGAGAGGUGGGCCCACAUGAGCUAAUGAACAAGGCCAAGUGUAGAGUGUUGGGUUGGAGUAAUCUCAGAUAUGUGUACGGAAUGGGAGAAGAAUUCAUUGAGAACAGCCUUGGACAGAAGGAGCUGGGAGUUAUGAUGGAUGACGAGCUGGAUAUGAGGCAGCAGUGCACACUUGUAGCCAAGAAGACCAACAGUAUCCUGGGCUACAUAAAAUAGGUGUGGCAGUGAGCAGGGAGGGGAUUGUCCCCCACUUCUCUGCUCUUGUGAGGCAUCUGUCUGGAUGGAGUACCAUGUCCACACCUGGGGCCCCCAGCAAAAGAAGGAUGAAGAUCUGUGGGAGAGGAUCCAAAAGAAGGUCACAAAGAUGUUCAGAGAGGUGGAGCACUUCUGAUACGAAGAAGGAUUAGAGUGAGAUGUGCUUAGCUUGGAGAAGAGAAGGAUCUGGGAAGACCUCAUAGAAACCUAAUACUUGAGGGGAGCUUAUAAGCAGAGGGGAGCUUAUAAGCAGAAGGGAGGUGCAAUUUUUGAUGUGAUUGGAAAGGGAGAAAUGGCUUUAAACUAAAAGAGGGGAAAUUUAAGUUGGAUGUUAGGAAGAAAUUCUUUCCUCAGAGGGUGGUGAGACCGUGGCACAGGUUGCCUGGAGAAGCUGUGGAUGCCCCAUUCCUGGAGUCAGCCAAGGCUAGGCGCCCUGAGAAGCCUGGUUUAGUGGCUGGCAACCUUUCCCAUGGCAGGGGGAUUAGAGAUUAAUGACUUUUAACCUUCCAACCUAAGCCAUUCUAUGAUCCUAUGCUUUUAUGAUUUUAUUAAGUGAAUCCAAAUGUAAAGAACAAAACUGAGGGCCUUCAUUUUGGCCUUCAGUUGAAGCCACAGUGGGGUACGCAGAUCCCUAAUUUCAUAGUAUCUCUGAUCUUCACACUUUAUAAGUAGCAUUUUAGAACACAGGCUUGAUUCAUUUUCUGAUUUAGAUCUCUACAGGAGUAUACACUGAAAAAAACAAGUACAAAGCUUGGGAGUUUCUCUUUAUGGUAUCUGUUUUCAAUGAACUGUUUAUGUCCUACACUGGGAUUAUGGCUUUAUGUGCUAUCAACUUCUUGGUCUGUUAGCCAAACCUCUCAAAGCCAUAUGAAUGUUGAGGUAUUUUUGGACUUUUGUUUUGUUUUGUUUUGUUUUGUUUUUUCCCCUGCAGAUUAUUCAGCUAUUAAUUUUUUCUUUCUUUUUUUUUUUUUUCCCACAUACUGUUAUGCUAAAAAAAACCAAACAAGUUGAACUCAUUGUGUUUCUUUUUAUCAUCAUCUCUUAAUUUUAGAUAAAUGUAGGCAUUAGAGAAUGAGAAAACAAGAUAUUUUGACUUGAAAACAUAAAACUUUAUGAUCAAAGCUGCUUUUUUUAGGGUAAAAUGUCACAGGGAUCUAAUUAGGAUAAAGAAUUUAAACUGUCAUUGUAAAUUGGAGUAGAGAGCUUUGUGUAUGGGCUUCAUGUAUUCAGGGCUACUUAACCUCUGCAGGAAGUGGAGAGAAGUGGUUUGCAUCAGCUGCACCGUGUACAUUGUUUUCUCCUUGGUCAUCAGAUGCCAGGAGUUACAGUAAUCCAUCCUGGAAGUGACAAACAUAUGACACCACAUGGCAUGAUCCUGUGGGAAGAAGGGUGGAAUUUCCUAUGGGUGCAAAUGCGUCAAGAAAAAGGACAUUUUUUUAAGUCUGAACACCCUUCCUGGCUGUCCCAGGUUAGUGAUGUAUGAGGCUUCUCAUCUUUUCACUAAUUUUCUUCAUUCUUACAGUUUUAUUGUAUUUUUAUUUAUUUGUUUGUUUGUUUGUUUGUUGAUUGCAGUAGGAAUCACUUCCACAUACAGAAGACCAGGAUUUUUUUUUUUUUUUAAUGUAUGUAUCUUUAAUUUAUUAAUUAGGUACAUGUUACAUUUGUUGUUUGUACCCUUGUUCCUCACAGUCCCAUAUCUGUUAGGAUAUAAUCAGAAGAAAAAAAAAAAUAAACAAGGUUUACAAUGAAAA
ensembl:lncRNA